CCUACGGGGGGCAGCAGUGGGGGAUAUUGGACAAUGGGGGAAACCCUGAUCCAGCGAUGCCGCGUGAGGGAAGAAGGUUUUCGGAUUGUAAACCUCUGUGGAGGGGGACGAUAAUGACGGUACCCCUUUAGGAAGCCACGGCUAACUACGUGCCAGCAGCCGCGGUAAUACGUAGGUGGCGAGCGUUGUCCGGAAUUACUGGGUGUAAAGGGAGUGUAGGCGGGAAAGCAAGUCAGAAGUGAAAACUAUGGGCUUAACCCAUAGCCUGCUUUUGAAACUGUUUUUCUUGAGUGAAGUAGAGGCAA
rnacentral:rRNA from 1 species